UAGGCUUUCGAGCUUAUACAGCUUGGAGUAAGACAACAUGCAUAAAGAGGAAGAUGUGGUCAAAAUAUUCAUUUGCCUAAUAAUUCUGCACUCCCUGUAUUAAACAGAUUUUUCGAACAGGGAGAUGGAAAAAGAGCUUGCUCUGUCCACUCCACGCAUUUACCUGGUGUUGCAGUACCUCCAGGACCGGUGCACCCUUU